rnacentral:tRNA from 1 species
GCGCCCGUAGCUCAAUUGGAUAGAGCGUUGGCCUCCGGAGCCAAAGGCUACUGGUUCAAAUCCAGUCGGGCGCA